rnacentral:rRNA from 1 species
AAGUCGAACGGAGUAGCAAUACUUAGUGGCAGACGGGUGAGUAACAUGUGGGUAUCUUCCCUUUGGUGAGGAAUAACACGAGGAAACUUGUGCUAAUACCUCAUAAGUCUUUACGGAGAAAGCUUUAUGCGCCAAUGGAUGAGCCUGCACUUGAUUAGUUUGUUGGUGGGGUAAUGGCCUACCAAGACUUUGAUCAAUAGCUGAUUUGAGAGGAUGAUCAGCCACAUUGGGACUGAGACACGGCCCAAACUCCUACGGGAGGCAGCAGUAGGGAAUCUUGCACAAUGGAGGAAACUCUGAUGCAGCGAUGCCGCGUGAGUGAAGAAGGCCUUUGGGUUGUAAAGCUCUUUCGUCGGGGAAGAAAAUGACUGUACCCGAAUAAGAAGGUCCGGCUAACUUCGUGCCAGCAGCCGCGGUAAUACGAAGGGACCUAGCGUAGUUCGGAAUUACUGGGCUUAAAGAGUUCGUAGGUGGUUAAAAAAGUUGGUGGUGAAAUCCCAGAGCUUAACUCUGGAACUGCCAUCAAAACUUUUUAGCUAGAGUAUGAUAGAGGAAAGCAGAAUUUCUAGUGUAGAGGUGAAAUUCGUAGAUAUUAGAAAGAAUACCAAUUGCGAAGGCAGCUUUCUGGAUCAUUACUGACGCUGAGGAACGAAAGCAUGGGUAGCGAAGAGGAUUAGAUACCCUCGUAGUCCAUGCUGUAAACGAUGUGUGUUAGACGUUGGAAAUUUAUUUUCAGUGUCGCAGCGAAAGCAAUAAACACACCGCCUGGGGAGUACGACCGCAAGGUUAAAACUCAAAUGAAUUGACGGGGACCCGCACAAGUAGUGGAGCAUGUGGUUUAAUUCGAAGAUACGCGCAGAACCUUACCAACACUUGACAUGUUCGUCGCGACUCU